GAUCAGGUGGCCGAGUGGUUAAGGCGAUGGACUGCUAAUCCAUUAGAGUUUCCUCGCUUCAGUUCGAAUCUCGUCCUGAUCG
rnacentral:tRNA from 1 species